GACGAACGCUGGCGGCGUGCUUGACACAUGCAAGUCGAGCGAUGAAGCUCCUUCGGGAGUGGAUUAGCGGCGGACGGGUGAGUAAAACGUGGGUAACCUGCCUCAUAGAGGGGAAUAGCCUUCCGAAAGGAAGAUUAAUACCGCAUAAGAUUGUAGUUCCGCAUGGGACAGCAAUUAAAGGAGUAAUCCGCUAUGAGAUGGACCCGCGUCGCAUUAGUUAGUUUGUGAGGUAACGGCUCACCAAGGCGACGAUGCGUAGCCGACCUGAGAGGGUGAUCGGCCACAUUGGGACUGAGACACGGCCCAGACUCCUACGGGAGGCAGCAGUGGGGAACAUUGCACAAUGGGGGAAACCCUGAUGCAGCAACGCCGCGUGAGUGAUGACGGUCUUCGGAUUGUAAAACUCUGUCUUUGGGGACGAUAAUGACGGUACCCAAGGAGGAAGCCACGGCUAACUACGUGCCAGCCGCCGCAGUAACAC
rnacentral:rRNA from 1 species